rnacentral:rRNA from 1 species
AGCGAACGCUGGCGGCAGGCUUAACACAUGCAAGUCGAGCGGGCACUUCGGUGUCAGCGGCAGACGGGUGAGUAACACGUGGGAACGUACCCUUCGGUUCGGAAUAACGCUGGGAAACUAGCGCUAAUACCGGAUACGCCCUUUUGGGGAAAGGUUUACUGCCGAAGGAUCGGCCCGCGUCUGAUUAGCUAGUUGGUGGGGUAAUGGCCUACUAAGGCGACGAUCAGUAGCUGGUCUGAGAGGAUGAUCAGCAACACUGGGACUGAGACACGGCCCGGACUCCUACGGGAGGCAGCAGUGGGGGAUAUUGGACAAUGGGCGCAAUCCUGAUCCAGCCAUGCCGCGUGAGUGAUGAAGGCCUUAGGGUUGUAAAGCUUUUUUGUCCGGGACGAUAAUGACGGUACCGGAAGAAUAAGCCCCGGCUAACUUCGUG